rnacentral:rRNA from 1 species
AUGAUGAAGGAACUAAUUGCAAGUAGGUUGAGGCAAAAUAGUAGUGGAGGAAGUGCAAGUAGUAAAUCUGAGCUUGAAAAAUACCUUGCCGAAGACUCUGAAGACCCUGACAAAAAAAUUGACAUCCUAGGAUGGUGGAAAGAGAAUUCAUCUAGGUUUCCAAUCUUGGCAAAUAUGGCUCGUGAUAUUCUUGCUAUCCCCAUUACAACUGUGGCUUCCGAGUCUGCCUUUAGCACAAGUGGACGCAUACUUGAUGACUUUAGGACAUCUCUAACUCCGUUUAUGGUGCAAGCUUUAGUUUGUACGCAAGACUGGCUGAGAAGGUCAACAGACCCGGUCGACAUCAAGGAGAACUUGGAAGAAUUAGAAGUGCUAGAAAAAGAGUUGAUUGAAGAAUUUGGUGACAAGGUGAAGGGAAAGCGCAAGUUCAAUGGUGGUGUUGUUGCUUCUUCCACGGCCAAGUCAAACAAGUGUGCAAGUCGACCAACAAAGUGA